GACGAACGCUGGCGGCGUGCUUAACACAUGCAAGUCGAGCGGCGCGGCGAACGGGUGAGUAACGCGUGAGUAACUGCCCCCCUCUCUGGGAUAACAGUUGGAAACGGCUGCUAAUACAGGCUAGUGGGGGAUGACUCGCGUCCUACUAGCUUGUUGGUGGGGUAGUGGCCUACCAAGGCGAGGGGGGGUAGCCGGCCUGGGAGGGCGACCGGCCACAUUGGGCUGAGAUACGGCCCAAACUCCUACGUGAGGCAGCAGUGUGGAAUAUUGCACAAUGGGGGAAACCCUGAUGCAGCAACGACGCGUGCGGGAUGACGGCUUUCGGGUUGUAAACCGCUUUCAGCCAUGACGCGGUAGUGGCAGAAGAAGCACCGGCUAACUCCGUGCCAGCAGCCGCGGUAAUUC
rnacentral:rRNA from 1 species